AUGUCAAGGUUGGGGCAUUUCCUGAAAAAAUUAUUGAACCUCUCUUAUGCUUCAUGAUAGCUUUCUAAAUCUUUCUGCUUGAAAGUGUAGACCUUAUUCCUGAUUU
rnacentral:snoRNA from 1 species